CGGGAAGUUCGAACGGACGUGGAAGAGCCCGCAGGUUGGGCCCAUGCACAGCAGCAGCUGCUCAGGGUCAGAGUUUCCUCGGGUUCUGUAUAAAAGCUUUGGUAGGUUCAUCCUCACGGUGAAGAUGUGUCUUUGUUAAUUUAGUCCAAGGUUGACUGAUUAGUGAAAUAAUCAUAUGCUGAAGAGAACAGGAAGUACUUGUGUUUAGAAAAAAAAGUAAUUGCAGCAAAUGCUAAAUAUCUCAAAGUAGGCUUAGUAUCUCUAAGAUAAUUGAGGCCUUUGAGAAAUACAAAAGAAGAACCGAAGAGCAAAGAAACAAGCUGAAGUAAGGAGAGCGCCCCACUCCCCAGUCCAAGAUUUCUGCUGCCCUACAGGAGACAUGUUCUUGGGAAAGCAGCAUCUCUCUCAAUUCGUCGUUAAAGAUGAAAUAGGCAAUUUCUGCCCAGUGACUUCCUUGCUACGAUAAACAACCUCGCCUGGAGGUGAAGAUGCUCAGUUUCUUCUUUGAACCAAGAAGGCGGUGCUGUCAGGAGCAGACAUGUCUCAUUGUCAAAUGAUGAAAUAACAUUAAAUGUAACAUUUUGUGGAUUUCUGAUGCUUUUGAAGACUCUAUAUAUGAGAUAAUACACUUCUUGUUUCAUCUCCCAAAGCUGAUGUAUCCACACCACUCUCCAGUGCACUGUUUGGCAUCCCUCUGCCUCUGCAUGAGUUACAGAUGGGAAAACAGAAAUUAGAGUUACCUGCAAAACUAACAAGACAGUGAAUGGAAAUGGCCUGAAUAUGAAUCUUCAUUCUUCGUUUUACCAGCAAAAUGGCCAGGGACUAAAUAACCUUUCUGAGCCUCAGUUUCCCCAUAAUGAAAGUCAUCAUAGUAUCUGUUUUGUGUCUAACAAAACCCAUAAUUUAAAGCAGUAAUGUUUAACAUGUA
rnacentral:lncRNA from 1 species